GGGAAGGGCACAGGUUUUAAAGCUCAUGGACCUAAGUUUUGGUCCUAGGGUCCCACUUGCUGUAUAACCUCGAGCAAGUUACCUAACCUCUUAAAGCCUCAGGUUCCUCAUGGACAAAGUGAGGGGUCAUAUGAGGACAAAAUGAGAUGACAUACGUGACACAUUGGCACUCAAUAGGCACUCAGUGAGUGAGCGUCCCCCUGAGUUUUCCCAGCAAGAGCCCUGAGAUCCGAAUGCAGGCCUUUUGGCUGCUUUGUCUCCACCCUGUGCUGCUCUUUAUCCACCUCCACCUGCGUUUCCUUUUUUUUUUUUUUUUUUGCAUGGGGAUGCCCUAUCUUGAGUGUUACCAGUGGAUGAACCUAUUCUUCGAGCGCCUUCACAAGGUCUUGAGUCUCACCAAAGUCCCAGGAGGUCAGGAGGAGAGAGUAUUCUCAUUUUCUGAAGCAUUUCCUGCCAUGUAAUGAAAAUCAACCCCUCUGUUAGACACCAAGAAUGGAAAGUAUAAACCAUUGUCCAGGCCUUUGAAGGAGCUGCAAUGAAGGGGAUGCGGUCCAUAGACAUGUUGACCAGCAAUUCCAACACCUUGUGAUAAAUGCUGUCAUGGAGAGACUGCAAAACGGAAGAAGCCAUUUCUUUAGAAACACACUGAUUCAUGCCCAGGAAAGAAGAUGAGGAGAGUUCUUAGCACCGGUCCCGCCCGAUUCCCUGCUUUCCUGCCAGGCACACACUCACUCAAGCCUGGGGAGCAGAGUGGGUGAGCUACUGCCAAUUUGAGAGGUAGAACCAGAGCAUAAAGUGAAGGAAUCCAGCCACCGCAGACUGCACAGCUCUGAACUCCACCACUAACUCUGGCAUCCGCAGGCUGCUCGGGGCAUAAAUCUUACUCAUCUGCAUCAUUGUCCAAGGAAUUGUGACAUUUAAUGAGGGAGCAGAAAGAGAAACAAGAGGAAAUAACUUCAAAAUGUACAGAGAAUCUCUGGACAUGCCACCCUCAGAUGGAAUGUGAUGGUGCAAGUCCCCAACUUCUCCGCUAGAUCAGGAACUUGGACUUGCUGAACUCAAAGGCUGAGCCUUUCAAUAUGCUCUGUUCAUUUCUCUUUUGUUUUAUCUUAAUUUUUCUCAUGUUCCUUUUGAAGAUUGCAGCCUAAUUCAGCUGGGUUAAGGGAACCCAAGAGUGAACAGGUGAGGGAGGGAGGAGCACUGGGAGCACCACCCUGGGGGCUAGCAGGGUCUGCAAGCAGAGGGGGAAGUGAAAAAAUGCCCAGAGAGAAGGGGAAACACUCAGCCUACUGUUUCCUUUUUGCCAGAACACCCACUCCCAAGGACUCUCCUCUUCUUAUGCCUUGGAAGGUGUGUGUGUGUGUGUGUGUGUGUGUGUGUGUGUGUGUGUGAGAGAGAGAGAGAGAGAGAAAGGGAGAAGAAGGGAUAAGCCAAUGAGGCCACACUACUUGCAGUUAUCAGCUUCUUGAUCCCUGGUCGCCCAUGGUCCCAGCAGCAAGCAGUGCUUGGGGCACCCAUGUAAGGCUGUGCAUUACAGCAAACACAUAUUUGGUUUCACUGAAGCCUUCAUCCCAUCUCUCCUCCACACCCUGGUAUAUAAUCCUCUCCCUCUGGCUCCCAAGCCUGUUAUUCCAGCACAAACUGUGGGCCCUAACUGUGCUAUGAUGGCAGGGCUCUGUCAUGUCAAUGAGAAUGUUAACAGCUAGAGUAGUGAAGGCACACUGAGCCAGGUUGGGCACUGGAGAGCUAUUGAGAGAGAGGUACAAUAGAGGUAGAAGGAGAAGGUUAGGUGAGGUGGCUCACGCCUGUAAUCCCCUCACUUUGGGAGGCCAAGGCAGGUGGAUUGCUUGAGGUCAGGAGUUCGAGACCAGCUUGGCCAACAUAGUGAAAUCCUGAUUCUACUAAAAAUAGUAAAGUUAGCUGGGUGUGGUGGCAUGCCUGUAGUCCCAGCUACUCAGAAGGUUGAGGCAGGAGAAUUGUUUGAACCCGGGAGGUGGAGGUUGCAGUGAGUCGAGAUUGCACCACUGCACUCCAGCCUGGGGGACAGAGGGAGAUUCUGUCUCAAAAAAAAAAAGAGACAGAAGGAGAGAUGGAUGGACGGUAGACUUUUUUGAGCUCCUGCCAUGUGCCAGG
rnacentral:lncRNA from 10 species